rnacentral:rRNA from 1 species
AUUGAACGCUGGCGGCAUGCUUUACACAUGCAAGUCGGGCGGCAGCGCGGGGGGCAACCCUGGCGGCGAGCGGCGAACGGGUGAGUAACACAUCGGAACGUGCCCAAUCGUGGGGGGAUAACGUAGCGAAAGCUACGCUAAUACCGCAUACGAUCUACGGAUGAAGCGGGGGAUCGCAAGACCUCGCGCGAAUGGAGCGGCCGAUGGCAGAUUAGGUAGUUGGUGGGGUAAAGGCUCACCAAGCCGACGAUCUGUAGCUGGUCUGAGAGGACGACCAGCCACACUGGGACUGAGACACGGCCCAGACUCCUACGGGAGGCAGCAGUGGGGGAAUUUUUGGGACAAUAGGGCGCAAGCCUGAUCCAGCCAUUCCGCGUUGCAGGAUGAA